rnacentral:rRNA from 1 species
GUGGGGAAUAUUCCGCAAUGGACGAAAGUCUGACGGAGCAACGCCGCGUGAGUGAUGAAGGUUUUCGGACUGUAAAGCUCUGUUGUUUAGGACGAAAGUGCCUGUUGCAAAUAGUUACAGGUAUUGACGGUACUGAACGAGGAAGCCACGGCUAACUACGUGCCAGCAGCCGCGGUAAUACGUAGGUGGCAAGCGUUGUCCGGAAUUAUUGGGCGUAAAGAGCAUGUAGGCGGGAAUCUAAGUCUGUUGUGAAAAUGCGGGGCUCAACCCCGUAUUGCGAUGGAAACUGGGUUGCUUGAGUGCAGGGGAGGAAAGGGGAAUUCCCAGUGUAGCGGUGAAAUGCGUAGAUAUUGGGAGGAACACCAGUGGCGAAGGCGCCUUUCUGGACUGUGUCUGACGCUGAGAUGCGAAAGCCAGGGUAGCGAACGGGAUUAGAUACCCGAGUAGUCC